GCGUCUUUGAUAUUUUCAUUUUUCCCCCCCAUCUCUCUCUCUCUCUCUCUCUCUCUCUCUCUAUCUUUCAUCUACGAGUUCACUCCCGCCGACAUCAGUUUGUUGAUCCACCUUCACCAAGCUGACAUCGCCGCCCACCCUCUCUCGAUCUCGCCAUCGAUCUCGUUUGCACUCAUCUGUUUUCAUCUCUCUCUUUUAAUUCCUUCAAAAACCCUAGAGUUUGAAGACUUGAUGAUGAUGAAAUAAAUGAGGAGAUCUAUGUGCAGGUUUGUUCGACGAUUUAGCCCUCUAAAGUCAGAUCUCUGUAUCUCUCUCUGUUUUCUUUCCAUUUCAUAUAUUCGAUUUCCAGAUUUUUUUAAAUUUCUUUUGGUUUUGUCUUCAGCCCUUUAGUCAAGUCAUAGAGAUGAUGAUGACAGAGUUAAAGAGAUCUAUACGUAGGUUUUUGGCUCAAACCCAAAUUAUAAACAUUCAUAUCUAUCACAUUUGAUGUUGUUCUAUACGCAGGUUUUUGGCUCAAACCCAAAUUAUAAACAUUCAUAUCUAUCAUAGUUGAUGUCGUUUCGUUCAUCGAUUCACAUAUAAAUCCAGCAAAAUCCAAGCUAGCAUUCCAAAAUCUACUCAUUUCCACCUUAUUACUAUGAUUCGUUAAUGUCAAAUGCAACCAUAAAGCAAGCUAAUUGGGAUGCUUCAAAAGUUCGUACAGAGUUGAGACAAGAGCUAAGGGAUGAGAUUAGAGACGAAUUGAGGGAGGCGAUGUGAGCAGAGCUUUCGACACAAAUACAACAAAUGAAAGCUGAAAUGUUGGCUAUCGUGUCUCAGGAAGGGAGUACAAAUCACAACAAAUAGGUACCGGAUGCAUUGAGUGGCCACCGUGAACCUACGGAUUAUGAGGCCGAUGAGAACCCCCAUACACCACCACUAGAUGAUGAGAUGUGACCCCUUUUGAGUAUGUGAUGAUAUCUUCACAUAUCGAUAUUAGAGUGUACUAUUGACAUUAAAACAAAUUAUAAUAUAUAUAUUUUUUAUUUGUAUUGUCGAUACUUUUAUUUUGCUUUAGAUACAAAAAUUUAAGUUCUUGAAUAUAAAAAAUUAUUAGUAUUGUUGGAGAAUGUUUUAUAUAUUUUUGUAAAGAAUAUUUGGUUGACAAUUGUUAUGGGGUACAUAUAUACGUAUGAUUUUGUGGAUGUGAA